GAUGAACGCUGGCGGCGUGCUUAACACAUGCAAGUCGAACGAAGCACUUUACCGGAUUUCUUCGGAUUGAAAGUUUAGUGACUGAGUGGCGGACGGGUGAGUAACGCGUGGGUAACCUGCCUCAUACAGGGGGAUAACAGUUGGAAACGACUGCUAAUACCGCAUAAGCGCACGGUAUCGCAUGAUACAGUGUGAAAAACUCCGGUGGUAUGAGAUGGACCCGCGUCUGAUUAGCUAGUUGGUGAGGUAACGGCCACCAAGGCGACGAUCAGUAGCCGACCUGAGAGGUGACCGGCCACAUUGGGACUGAGAUACGGCCCAGACUCCUACGGGAGGCAGCAGUGGGGAAUAUUGGGCAAUGGGGGAAACCCUGACCCAAGCAACGCCGCGUGAAGGAAGAAGGCC
rnacentral:rRNA from 1 species